UACGGAGGGGACUAGCGUUGUUCGGAAUUACUGGGCGUAAAGCGCACGUAGGCGGAUUUGUAAGUCAGGGGUGAAAUCCCGGGGCUCAACCUCGGAACUGCCUUUGAUACUGCAAAUCUCGAGUCCGGAAGAGGUGAGUGGAAUUCCUAGUGUAGAGGUGAAAUUCGUAGAUAUUAGGAAGAACACCAGUGGCGAAGGCGGACUCACUGGUCCGGUACUGACGCUGAGGUGCGAAAGCGUGGGGAGCAAACAGGGAUAGAA
rnacentral:rRNA from 1 species